rnacentral:rRNA from 1 species
GUCUACAGCCAUGUCACCCUGAACAAGACUGAUCCAAUCUGAUCUUGGAAGCUAAGCAGGGUCGGUCCUGGUUAGUACUUGGAUGAGAGACCACCUAGGAAGAACAGGUGCUGUAGGCG